rnacentral:rRNA from 1 species
UACGGAGGAUGCAAGCGUUAUCCGGAAUCAUUGGGCGUAAAGCGUCCGCAGGUGGUGAUGCAAGUCUAUUGUCAAAGAGCGAGGCUCAACCUCGAGACGUCGGUUGAAACCACCUGGCUAGAGUCCGGAAGAGGAGAGUGGAAUUCCUGGUGUAGCGGUGAAAUGCGCAGAUAUCAGGAAGAACACCCGUGGCGAAGGCGGCUCUCUGGGACGGUACUGACGCUGAGACGCGAAAGCGUGGGGAGCGAACAGG